rnacentral:rRNA from 1 species
GUGCCAGCAGCCGCGGUAAUACGUAGGUGGCGAGCGUUGUCCGGAAUUACUGGGUGUAAAGGGCGUGUAGGCGGGAUUGCAAGUCAGAUGUGAAAUUCCGGGGCUUAACCUCGGCGCUGCAUCUGAAACUGUGAUUCUUGAGUGAUGGAGAGGAAAGUGGUAUUCCUAGUGUAGCGGUGAAAUGCGUAGAUAUUAGGAGGAACACCAGUGGCGAAGGCGACUUUCUGGACAUUAACUGACGCUGAGGCGCGAAAGCGUGGGGAGCAAACAGGAUUAGAAACCCCUGUAGUCC